rnacentral:rRNA from 1 species
GAUGAACGCUGGCGGCGUGCCUAAUACAUGCAAGUCGAGCGAACGGACGAGAAGCUUGCUUCUCUGAUGUUAGCGGCGGACGGGUGAGUAACACGUGUAUAACCUACCUAUCAGACUGGGAUAACUUCGGGAAACCGGAGCUAAUACCGGAUAAUCUUUUGAACCGCAUUGUUCAAAAGUGAAAGACGGUCUUGCUGUCACUUCUAGCUGGAUCCGCGCUGCAUUAGCUAGUUGGUAAGGUAACGGCUUACCAAGGCAACGAUGCAUAGCCGACCUGAGAGAGUGAUAGGCCACACUGGAACGGAGACAGGGUCCAGACUCCUACGGGAGGCAGCAGUAGGGAAUCUUCCGCAAUGGGCGAAAGUAUGACGGAGCAACGCCGCGUGAGUGAUGAAGGUCUUGGGAUCGUAAAACUCUGUUAUGAGGGAAGAACAUAUGUGUCAGUAACUGUGCACAUCUUGACGGUACCUAAUCAGAAAGCCACGGCUAACUACGUG